UCUCACCCACCGGCCGCUGAUAUGUCUGGUAUUCUUGGGUUCAUUCCUUACUCUGAACCAGUUUAUUAGACGUAUCGACGGCCGGAUCGGGUGAGAAUUU
rnacentral:pre_miRNA from 1 species